rnacentral:rRNA from 1 species
UGGGGAAUAUUGGACAAUGGGGGGAACCCUGAUCCAGCCAUGCCGCGUGUGUGAAGAAGGCCUUAUGGUUGUAAAGCACUUUAAGCGAGGAGGAGGCUACCUGAGACUAAUACUCUUGGAUAGUGGACGUUACUCGCAGAAUAAGCACCGGCUAACUCUGUGCCAGCAGCCGCGGUAAUACAGAGGGUGCGAGCGUUAAUCGGAUUUACUGGGCGUAAAGCGUGCGUAGGCGGCUUUUUAAGUCKGAUGUGAAAUCCCCGAGCUUAACUUGGGAAUUGCAUUYGAUACUGUGAAKCUAGAGUAUG